rnacentral:rRNA from 1 species
UACAGAGGAUGCAAGCGUUAUCCGGAAUGAUUGGGCGUAAAGCGUCUGUAGGUGGCUUUUUAAGUCCGCCGUCAAAUCCCAGGGCUCAACUCUGGACAGGCGGUGGAAACUACCAAGCUGGAGUACGGUAGGGGCAGAGGGAACUUCCGGUGGAGCGGUGAAAGUGCGUAGAUAUCGGAAGGAACGGCCGGUGGCGAAAGCGACGUGCUGGACCUCUUCUGACGCUGAGGCGCGAAAGCCAGGGAGCAAACGGG